AAGAGCCGGGUAACGGGAGACUGUUACGCCCGGAUCUGUGGGAGCCGGGAGGUGAGACCCCUCCCGGCCACCCGAC
rnacentral:ncRNA from 2 species